GACGAACGCUGGCGGCGUGCUUAACACAUGCAAGUCGAACGGUGAAGCGCCUUCCUUUUUGGUGGGUGUGGAUGAGUGGCGAACGGGUGAGUAACACGUGAGUAACCUGCCCCCUUCUUCUGGAUAACCGCAUGAAAGUGUGGCUAAUACGGGAUAUUCUGGGUCUGUCGCAUGAUGGGUCUGGGAAAGAUAUUGUUUCGGUGGGGGAUGGGCUCGCGGCCUAUCAGCUUGUUGGUGGGGUGAUGGCCUACCAAGGCGGUGACGGGUAGCCGGCCUGAGAGGGUGGACGGUCACACUGGGACUGAGACACGGCCCAGACUCCUACGGGAGGCAGCAGGGGGGAAUAUUGCACAAUGGGCGGAAGCCUGAUGCAGCGACGCCGCGUGAGGGAUGGAGGCCUUCGGGUUGUGAACCUCUUUCGCCAGUGAAGCAGGCCUGCCUCGUUUGUGGGUGGGUUGACGGUAGCUGGAUAAGAAGCGCCGGCUAACUACGUG
rnacentral:rRNA from 1 species